UACGUAUGGUGCAAGCGUUAUCCGGAUUUACUGGGUGUAAAGGGAGCGCAGGCGGUGCGGCAAGUCUGAUGUGAAAGCCCGGGGCUCAACCCCGGUACUGCAUUGGAAACUGUCGUGCUAGAGUGUCGGAGGGGUAAGUGGAAUUCCUAGUGUAGCGGUGAAAUGCGUAGAUAUUAGGAGGAACACCAGUGGCGAAGGCGGCUUACUGGACGAUAACUGACGCUGAGGCUCGAAAGCGUGGGGAGCAAACAGG
rnacentral:rRNA from 1 species